rnacentral:rRNA from 1 species
GACGAACGCUGGCGGCGUGCCUAAUACAUGCAAGUAGAACGCACAGUUUAUACCGUAGCUUGCUACACCAUAGACUGUGAGUUGCGAACGGGUGAGUAACGCGUAGGUAACCUGCCUGGUAGCGGGGGAUAACUAUUGGAAACGAUAGCUAAUACCGCAUAAUAUUAAUUAUUGCAUGAUAAUUAAUUGAAAGGUGCAAUUGCACCACUACCAGAUGGACCUGCGUUGUAUUAGCUAGUAGGUGAGGUAACGGCUCACCUAGGAGACGAUACAUAGACGACCUGAGAGGGUGAUCGGCCAUGAUGCGACUGCGACACGGCCCACGCCACUAAGAGAGGCAGCACUAGGGAAACUUAGGCAAUGGAGGAAAGUCUGACCGAGCAACGACGCGUGAGUGAAGAAGGUUUUCGGAUCGUAAAGAUCGUUUGUAAGGGAAGAACGGGUGUGAGAGUGGAAAGUUCACACUGUGACGGUAUCUUACCAGAAAGCAACGGCUAACUACGUG